UUUAGCAAACCCUGGUGUAAUCGCCACAACUUUGGUUAGGGCCACCACCGUUUUUGGAAGGCAAGCAGGUUCGGUAGCCAUUGCUUUGUGGACAAUUAACAGCUUUGUUGUUUGAAUUGCCUGUUUGGCCAGACACAGAUUGGCUCACAUCGUAGAGCAUUCUGGCCACAUGGGAACCGAAGUAGAAUUCUGAUUCCAAAUCAUUGUUGCCGAUGAGGCAAUCCUCUGUGACACAGUUUUUGUUGUUGGCGUUGACAACGUUGUUGUAGUGGAUCAGAAGAAUCAGCAGCACAAAGGAGAGACCCUUGUUCAUUUUAUUUUUGGGGGGAACUAUUUUCUCAGACAAAGAGAAGACUAUGGUAUUUGGUUCAGAGUGAAGGCCUCUU
rnacentral:lncRNA from 1 species